UGGGGAUUAGCCAAGCGGUAAGGCAACGGACUUUGACUCCGUCAUGCACAGGUUCGAAUCCUGUAUCCCCAGCCA
rnacentral:tRNA from 2 species